rnacentral:lncRNA from 13 species
UUUUUUCACAUAUUUGUUGGUCAUUUGUAUUUCUUAUUUUGAGAAACGUCUGCCCAGAUCAUUUGUUUAAUUUUUAUUUAUUUAUUUAUUUAUUUAUUUAUUUAUUUAUUUAUUUAUUUUUGCUAUUGACAUGAGUUUCUUGUAUAUUCUGGAUACUAAUCUUUUGUUAAAUAAAUAGUUUUCAAUAUUUUUCUUUUAUUCUGUAGGCUUUCUCUUCACUCUGUUGAUUGUUUUCUUUGCUGUACAGAAGAUUUUCAGCUCGAGAUAGUCCCAUUUGUCAAUUUUUGCUCCUGUUAAUUUUGUGAGAUAUUGCCUGCAAGUUAUUUCUAUGCAUCAGAACCAUGGAUACAAAUGACGGUUGGGUCCAGUUGAUUCAGAGAGCUCAGAAAUAAGGUCACACCCCUAUGAUCAUCUGACCUUUGUCAAAGUUGCCAAAAGUAACUUGCUAUUCAAGUGGAGAAAAGACUUGCUAUUCAAAAAACUGGAUAACUGGCCAACCAUAUGCAGACGAUUGAAAUUGGACCUUUUCCUUACACCAUAUACAAAAAUCAACUCAAGAUGGAUAAAAGACUUAAAUUUAAA